rnacentral:rRNA from 1 species
UGGGGAAUUUUGCUCAAUGGGGGAAACCCUGAUGCAGCGACUCCGCGUGAUUUAGAAGGCCUUCGGGUUGUAAAAAUCUUUUUUAUUGGAAGAAAAUGACAGUACCAUAGGAAUAAGGACCGGCUAAUUACGUUCCAGCAGCCGCGGUAAUUCGUAAGGUCCGAGCCUUGUCCGGUAGCAUUGGGCGUAAAGGGUACGUAGGCGGGUAAGCAAGUUAGAAGUGAAAUCCUGUAGCUCAACUACAGUAAGCUUUUAAAACUGCUCAUCUUGAGAUAUGGAAGGGAAAGUGGAAUUACUAGUGUAGCGGUGAAAUGCGCAGAUAUUAGGAGGAAUACCGGUGGCGAAGGCGACUUUCUGGCCAUAAUCUGACGCUGGGGUACGAAAGCGUGGGUAGCAAACAGG